rnacentral:rRNA from 1 species
AUUGAACGCUGGCGGCAGGCUUAACACAUGCAAGUCGAGCGGGGAAAAGUAGCUUGCUACUGGACCUAGCGGCGGACGGGUGAGUAAUACUUAGGAAUCUGCCUAUUAGUGGGGGACAACAUCUCGAAAGGGAUGCUAAUACCGCAUACGUCCUACGGGAGAAAGCAGGGGACCUUCGGGCCCUGCGCUAAUAGAUGAGCCUAAGUCGGAUUAGCUAGUUGGUGGGGUAAAGGCCUACCAAGGCGACGAUCUGUAGCGGGUCUGAGAGGAUGAUCCGCCACACUGGGACUGAGACACGGCCCAGACUCCUACGGGAGGCAGCAGUGGGGAAUAUUGGACAAUGGGGGGAACCCUGAUCCAGCCAUGCCGCAUGUGUGAAGAAGGCCUUUUGGUUGUAAAGCACUUUAAGCGAGGAGGAGGCUACCGAGAUUAAUACUCUUGGAUAGUGGACGUUACUCGCAGAAUAAGCACCGGCUAACUCUGUGCCAGCAGCCGCCGUAACAC